ACCGUCGCUUGCGCACGUCACCCGAUACCGACACCGCGCGCGAGUGAGUGACAAACAAAUACCCAACCUGUGCCCACUGUGCGUGUUGUGACAUAAAUAACAAGUGUUUAUCAUCGUGUGAUCAUUAAUAUAUCACAGGUCUGGUGGCUGAUUGCGGGACGGAGUUGGUACAACUCACGUGACCAGCGUUUGCGCAAGAUGAGUGUGUGGGAGUGAGCAGCUGCAGCUUGCGGCAUGGGCCAGACGGGCAGCCAGCCGGCCGGCGCCGCACCGCCGCGAAAUCGGCGCGCGCGCACGCUGCCGCACGAGCCGCUCAGACACGCGCCUAAGGUGCUGCCAUCUCUAGUGGAGACGCCGCACCUGCGCAGUACGGACAACGGCGCCAUCCUGCAGUCGGGCGGCACCAUCAGCGGCAGACGACCAGCCUCCAUACUGGAGACCUCCCGGACACCGCACGGACAUGUGCACUCGAACGUGUACCGGUCACGGUCAGCAGGCUCCGGCGGGCAGGGCGAGCUGAGGGCCAGAGAGCGAGACCCUCUCCACCGGUCUCACACGAACCUCGACCUGAGAAGUAACGAAGGCAGCAGUAUGAAUAAAAGAUUUGGAUCUGAACCAGAUCUACGGAUAGAAGAAGAACAACAGAAGCCAAGAUGUAAUAAACAUUUUAGGAAGAAAUAUCGAGCACCCCCACCUCCCACCAAUGACCAUCGUGAGGGUUCAUCGCCAGAUUCCAGUGACGGGAACGCGAGACCAGAACCCCAGAGGAAACUCAGACUGUUCAAAACCAGAAACGAAACCAAAAAGAUGAACGGUCAUAUUGACACCAAAAUACCUGGAUAUAGAGGUUCUUAUCUUGAAUACAAAUCUUUGGAUUUAAAUGAUAACCAUGCCUUUGAGAGACGAUACAGAUCGCCUUGCAAAGACAAAGAACCACACCUCAAAUAUCCGGAUAAUAAAGACAUGGUGCAAACUACAGCUUCUCUGAAAAGGGAGGAACGAUUAUUACAGUCUAGACAAGACUUUAAAAAAUCAAGAACAGACAAGGUCAGCGGAUGUAGGGCAAAGACCGCGAAAACAAACGAACAAAGUGAAGCAUGGAAAACACCACUAUUGAACAGAAACUUCAGGUAUUCUGAGAGGUUCAGAAGGGAUGACAGCGAACAACCAGUAUUGAGGAGAGAAAAGACUUUUGACAAUACUUUGCUUUCAAGUGAAAAAGAAAGCGAGUCUCCCAGAGCCAUACACGAGACAAAGAUGAAGACGAUAGGACAACAACUUAAAGAAAACAGGCUCAGCCCGUUAGCGGCGAGUAGCAAGCCUUUGAGAAAAUCUCUUCCUUCACUAUUAGUCAAAGAUAUUGAAGAAAAAGAUGAAUUUCAAGCGGAGCUCAAAAAGGCAACAAAUAGGAUAAGAAAUGAAAUAGGGAGUAAAAUUAAUGUUAGUGAAAACAAAACUAGUCAGAAUGAUAAAACGAACGCACAGAAACCAAACCCAACGAAGACGACAGCACAGAGCAAAGUCAAAGAGUCUAGUCUUAAACCGAGCAAUAUCAGUAAUAAACAAGACACGAAAACAGCUAUCAGUAGAAUUAGUCGGCCUGUAAAUCGGGUCAGUGAAACCAAACCGAAAGCCACUGCCCAGACGAAUAUAAAGACUAAUGUAGCAGUGAGUAAAUAUAAAUUCGACAGUAAAGAGAGCGGGAAGUCGAUGCCGGACCGAGGACAGGCGUCUGGCAAAGAGUCAACUCCGGAGCAUUCACCAACGAGACGAAAGGACCCAGCUACGAAUCAAAGUUCUCAAGAGAAGCAAAAACCAGCUCCUUCGAAGCAGUUUUACUUCGGUAUGAUCGAGAGCAAGCAAUCGGAGGCACGGGAUCAUCUGAAAGACUUCCCUGGUCUAGGCAGUCCUAUCAUUGAGGAAAUCAGCAACUUCCACCUCAUUGAGAAGAAGCUUCUUGGAUACCACGAUGAGGAUGCCGAGUUUGAGAAGUUUAACGCCAAGUUAAAAGAAGACUGCAAAAUUAAGAAUUUAUCUUCAGAGUCAGCGUUGUCAUCAGACGGCUCUGAGGGCGAGGGUUCAGAAGGCUCCUUAGGUAUUGCGCUGCGCCUGCGACCGACCCUGCCGAAGAAACAACCCGCCGUGCCGCGUUUCUCACCAGCUGCUGCCUGGAGACAACUUGCCAGUUUAGACGCUCAUCUUGCCUCAGAAACUCAACCCUUAGCAGUGGAAACAAAAGUAUCACAAGACAUAUCUCCAGAAUCGUCACCGAGAUCGGAACAGUCAGCUGACAAAUCAGGCGACUCUGGAAUAUCCGGGGACCAUGCUCAUAGCGACCAUAGGAUAGAUUCGCCGGGUCACCAUGUGCCAGAUUCUAAUCCCGCCGUUUGGACUCCUCAGCAAGACCUUGGCGACAGCAGCUCUGACGGCGCAGGAGUCGGCAUCACUCUGCAUCCUCAGGGGAUCGGGGUGGCCACCUACAGUCCCGGAGCUCAGCCCUUCAGCUUGUCAUUGCCAAGAGAAAACCAGGACAAGGGGAAACAGCUGCAACAGGGUUUUAACAGUCUUCAGAAGCUCAGGAAGUCAGUCUCAGGGGCUUUGGGGGCAGCGUUGGGUUCGAGAAGGUUCGACUUAGAACACGAACCGAUGUUGCAAGAACCGGAGCAGAACUGGUUCUUAACGAAGUCUGCUCCGAAUUCGUUGAGCAAUCCACUCCUGUUCCAACAACCAGCGAGGGCGAAAGCGUCUACCGAAGAGGAUAUCAAGGAGGAAGAAUCUUCGCCCGUGCCUGAGAAGGAGGACGCGACCCCAUGGCGUGGUAACAACUCGUACCUGUCUUGGGGAGGACACGUCAUGUAUCUGCCGCCCGCGCCCGCGGCGCCUGACCAGCCUCUCUCCAUGCUGGGUCCUAUUGAUAGGCCCAUAAGGAGCAAAUCAAGCGGGUGCCUGGAGGUGGCUGCGCGCGCGGCCCGUGCUGCGCGUGCGGCGCUGGCAAGCGAGAUGCGCGAGAGGGAGCGGUCGGCCUCGCCCGAAGUGGCGCGCGCGCUACCGGCCAGGGUCGAGCCCGCUGCAACUCGCAACUCAUCAGCACCAAGUCGCGGCAAGCGGUUCACGUUCCAGUCCACAGUGAGACAGCUGGAGAGGCGGCGACUGGCGGAGAAGCUGUCCAAAGAGGCUGACCUCAAGGAGCAGCAGCGACGCACCGAGCUGGAGGCCAUGAGACGAGUGGAGGAAGAGUUCCAGCGCAAGCGCGCGCGGGAGAAGGCCAACAUUCGGCAACAACUCCGGCUGGUCAGCAGCGGCGCUGCCAGCAUGCCCACACCCACACACACCAAGACACGAGACGAACCGGACGGUUCUUGUCGGGAGUCGCCUGCGCCGGAGCGGCCCCGUGACGGCAGACAACGGCACAGCAACGCAUCUUCAGAGAUCAGCGGGCGCAGCAAGAGCACUACCCCUGUGGAGUGGCGCGACAACGAAGUGCGGGUUUACCGCGACUGGGCAAGCGGGGUCACAAGCGGCACGGCAGCGGCGCACGCGCACCCGCCCGCCUGCGCGCGCAUGCCCAUGUCCACACACGUCGUCUAUAAUGCGGCAGCGGAAGUAGAAGCGUUCAGCGGCUCACCCCGCUCAGACAACUACCGGUUAGAGUUCGCGCGCGGCCGCUCCCCCCGCACACCGCGCCCCCCGCGCCUGCUCGCUGCGCGUACGCCGUCCAGCAGCGGAUCUGAGCUGUCGCUCCGACAACCUAUCAAGAUCAGGUGGUGAGCCGUAGUAGCGCUAUAGUUAACAACUAACUGCCUUACGCCAACCAAUCGGAAGUGAGUCUACAAAGGAGGAACCGGAACCAGAAGAGCCCGCCAUAGUGCCGACACUGCGCCCCUCAGGACCUGCGCGUGCGACGCUAGCCAUACGAUAAUUAUCAUCUUUAAUCAACAUAACAGCCUGUACAUGGCUCACUGUUGGACACAAACCUUUCCUGGAGGAGGAAGGGUGUGGAGUAUACUCCACCACGCUACUCCACUGCGGGUUAGUGGAGCUAUUGGGCUGGUAGCCCGGACCAACGGACUAACGUGUCUCAUGCGUGUAAUGCGCGAUUUUUAAACCAACAUGUCUUCAUAGAUCGUGAUCUUUUUCCCAUACGAAUUUAAAUUAUAAUAAUAACUUCUAAGAUUUUAACAAUUGUUUUGGAAAUGUAUUAAAAUUGAAAAUGUAAAACAAGUUAAUCAAAAUUAACGUCAACUAACAAUUGUGUUUAGGUAAUUUAGCUCAUGUAUAACAGCAAAACAGAAUCGAUAUCUAUAUUUAAAUCAGUCAUUUAAAUUAUUGAUUGAAACAGGAGAGCUUACACGUCUCUUCUUGAAGAGCUUACAUGGAACAGAUUAAAGGGAAGGCGAACGUUGUGUACAGUCAUGAGCAAUAUAAUGUACCCAUUUUAUGACUCUGUCGCACUAACGUAUUUCGUGACGUAUUUUCACAUUUAGUGAGACUCACAGUUCAAUUUGUCAAAAAAGUUAAUGUGACAUGGUACCAAAGUGUAUACAUAUUAAUGCUCGUGACCGUACGUAUUACAUAAUAUAAGGAAGUGAAAUAACUGGCCUUUGAUAGACAAGAAUAGAAAAUGCUACAACGAGAGAAUGGCUCUAGUGAUGUGAUGAUUUAAAUGAUUUAACUUCAGCGCUCAAAAAACAUCUCACUUGACAGUAAAAGCUUGUAAAUUGAUCGUUGUACCUACUCACGAAGACCUUAUUAACUUACAAGAAAAGAACGUAAUUACACAUAGAAAUUAAGUCCAAAUUCUGCAAGUCAUCGAUAGUGACUUUGGAAGUAAGUAUUGUUGGUCGAAUUCAGGUACGAAUUCAGAUAAACAUUUUGAAGAACAAUAAAGCAAUCCUUACUAAUGAAAUCCAGCCUAUUUUGCGGAGUGUGUGGGACAGGAUAGGGUCCAAUAUGCUUCAAGGUGUCUAGCCCCCGGCGCACCCAAGAUAUCAUCAUCAUCAGCCCAUUAACGUCCCCACUGCUGAGGCACGGGCCUUCCCUAUGGAUGAAUAGGGAGAUCGGGCCUUAAACCAUCACGCGGGCCCAGUGCGGAUUGAUGGUUAUUAACGACUGCUAAUGCAGCCGGGACCAACGACUUAACGUGCCUUCCAAAGCACGGAGGAGCUCGAGAUGAAAACUUUUUUUUUGUGGCCACCCAUCCUAUGACCGGCCUUUGCGAAAGUUGCUUAACUUCAACAAUCGCAGACCAAGCGCGUUAACCGCUGCGCCAUCGAGCUCCUCAAGCUCCAAGAUAUCAUGUGCCCCCCUAAAUCCAUGCCUGUGCCAGUUUCAGGGCGUGAUUGGAAAAGGGUGCGUCGCGGAAAUAGAUUUCAUUCAGUAUUAGGGUCAGUCCUUAAUGGUACUAGAUCCGGCUAUGAGGGUUAUACAUUUAUUGUAGGAAGGCUGCAGUUUCCGCAAAACUGAGUCGUUGCGACCCUAUUUCGCGAGCAUUGUUUACUUUUCUUCUUUCAUUGUCGAAUGUUUGGAGUAGUAAAGUAGAGCAACUUCAGGCAUAGUGACGUCAGCAGGGCUGCCCCCGAGAAGGGUGAAAAUAUUCAAAUUCGGAAUUCUGAAUUCGAAGUCUGGGCCCUUGAAGAAAGCUCGACUGAAAAUAUAUAAAACCUUUGUGAUAUACGAACUGCUGCAGAUUAAAAAUGCGCCAGGUUUUUUAUAUAUCUAAUCAGGCUUAAAUACUACACUUUUGUCUAUUAAACUACUCGAUAAAUGUAUUAUACUCAUCGCCAGAUUUAUAAGUCAAUUUUAUAUUACCACAAAGCCUAAUUGCUGCAAAGAAAAUAAAAAAUCUUUUAUUUUCAAUGUUUUUCACUUAUUUCGCAUCGGUGACGCCAUGUAGGUAUAAAAAAUAAAUGUCAGCGUAAAUCAGGAACAUUUAUGACCACUUCCGAGACAUUCCAAAAAUAUUUUAGCACUAACAUUCUAACAGCUGCUUCCAGUGGCGGCCCUAGGGCGGUGCGAGGUGUGCCACUGCACAUGGCGCCAAAAUAAGGGGGCGCCAAAGUCAACCAAGACUGGUUCACCCUGGCCGCAAACUAACUUCACCGGGUUAGAAAAUAACAUAUUUAAAACAAUUUGCAAUUCGCCCUGGUUCACCAGAAUGGAUGAAUUGCACAGCUACCUAGAAAUGCCUACUGUCGCUGAAGAAGCACAGCAGCGUAAAGCAGUACACAAAGAACAUUUGGUCCACCAUCCUAAUCCUUUAGCCAACUCCCUCCUAUCCUCUUGGGACAUAAAAAGACUGAAACGUGCGAAUGUACUUACGGACUAAUGGACUACAAUGCAGCGCUGGCUGUAUAGUUCAAAACAGUGAAAAUAACAGAACAAAUUAAUCUGAUAAUAGUCUAGUGACUGAUGGCAGAUAACAAGGACAAAAAAAAGAUUGCGGCCACAUAAAACUCAUAUCGGGUGGCCAUAAAAAACUUUUUUAAAAGAUUUAAAUAGGUGAAUUUAUCGGCCGUAAACUAAUCGAAAAAUUUUGUAUUUUAAGGGGCUGAGGGGUGCCACUGUGAGAUCUCGCACCACCUAAAUAAAGGUUAAAGGUUGCCUGGAAGAAAUUGCUGCAUGAGCAAUAAGGCCGCCUGUUGUGCUUUUCUGUAUAUGCUCUCCUUAUCUCUGUAUUUUGUGUCCAUUGUCCUCAAUAAAGUAUUUUAUCUAUCUAUCUAUCUUAAUAUUUUGCUAGGGCCGCCACUGGCUACUUCUUACAGGUUUACUAACCGUAUCGUAAUGUGACUCCGAAUAGUGCUUUAACUCAUGGUCACUUGUAUAGAUAGGUAUAAACAUAGUAUAGAAUAUAAAUACAUGAGUGCCGAUUCUGGCUGCACAAACUUAAAUUUAAUUUAAGUUGACAGUUCUAUAGCUAGCUCGUUCUUGUACUCAUUGUAAGAAAAGGACGGCACUACUUUUAGAGAUAUCAAACUGAAAUAAAAUUAAGUUUCUGUCAGCCAGAAUCGGUACUUUAUUAUAAUAAUGAUAAUAAUUAUGAAUGUAUGUUUCUAGAAUAUGAUAUUUUUUAUAAUCAUAAUCAAUGCAAUAGAUAUGUCUUCCGUAAGAGUUCUGGAGCUUUAAUAUAGACUUAACUAGACUUACUUUUAGCUUAUUCUCUUUAUCAGUAACGAAGAUUGUGAAAUUAGUUUUUUCAUCAUUUUAUUCGUAUUAAAAUUGUAUAAUUUGGACAUUUCUUCAUUUAUAUACAUAAAUAAAUAACCAUGGAAAAAUAUAUUCGAAAGAUCUGAAUUCAUUUUUCAAAUUUUUAAUCUAGCAUUGGCGGGCCUUGCUUUACAUUCUUAUAUUUGAAAACCACCGAUUACAUCACCGAUUGAGAAAUUGGUCGGUGUACUGCGGAACGGAAGGCUAUUGGGGCAACCACCGUUCUACACGCCCUAUCUAUGGAGUAUUGAAGGCGAUUACUCCACCGACAAGAGCGCAGCUCUUAAAUAAAGAGAGAGAGAUUUGAAAAAAGAAAGUGAAUUAUUGAUUUCCGUAACGAUUAAAAAUAGCUUAGUAAAACUUUAGAUUUCCAUUCCGUGUUAUGAUAUUUUAAAAAUUAUCAUUGAAGAAACUAAUAUUACAAUCUAUUGUAUACGACGUAAGAGCCGGUGCUAACUCAUAUACGUAUUAUAAUUAUGUUACAUACACCUCUGUAGAGGUUCUUUUGAAUACUUAGUAAUAGCAGUGUGUAGGUACUGGUGUUUGUUUAUCCAGAAAAUUAUAAAAAAGAAUAAUACAUAGUUUAUUAAAAUGUAACAUCAAUCUUACAUUAUUUUAAAGCUGUUCAUCAAAAAAGCAAUAUUGCAAUUUGACAUUUGCGCAUAUAAAAUUAAGCGCUCGAUGACAACAAAGGUCAAAUAGCAAUAUUGCUUUUUUAGAUAAAUUGCAGCAGGCUCGCGACCAUGGCGCUAGUGUCGCAGUAGCCGCAUAAAACUAUUAUGAUUUUUGAAUUAGUUCCAUUAAAAUCCUACUAUUUUAGUUGGAAAAUUCAACAUACUACUUCCCUUAGUUAAAAAAAAAAAACAUUCUGAAACAUUCGCUCCUUUCAGAGUACCAACCUAAUCUAAAAAGACAAUUAUUAUUGAAACUAUAGACAUACAACGCCUAAGACGCACGCACAGCCGUCCAAAUGCCCCCAAUCGGUCCAAAAUUUCGUGUCUCAAUUAACCUUUUACGUCUAUCAAUCAUAUCUACCCUUCGUAUUGUAUAUCUUAUCCACUACCAUGAGUCGAUCACCAAUGUCUACCUCACACUACAAAAAUCUCAUGCCGCCUAACGCGCAAGUGUGAACGAGAUAGACAAUCUGUGCUCUCCCUUAGUCCUUAGCAGUUAACGGCUCAUCAUCACCAGCCCAUUAACGUCCCCACUGCUGGGGUACGGGCCUUACCACCACGCGGGCCCAGUGCGGAUUGGUGGUUAUUAACGACUGCUAAUGCAACCGGGACCAACGGCUUAACGUGCCUUCCGAAGCACGGAGGAGCUCGAAUGAAAACUUUUUUUUAUGGUCACCCAUCCUAUGACCGGCCUUUGCGAAAGUUGCGUAACUUCAACAAUCGCAGACCGAGCGCGUUUACCGCUGCGCCACCGAGCUCUUCAAUUUACGGCUAUUUAAGACUGAAGUAAGAGCCAGAAGGACUGAGGUGUAGAGAUACAAAUUUUAUAAGAGAUAUAAGAGAUAAAAAUUAGAGUUACCGUUCGUAGUAUUUAUUAUUCUUUAUUCUAUGACAACGGACUUGAAGUAAUUUAUAAUGUCUGAACAACACAAUGAAAACUGAAGUUUCGAUUGAAAUAUCUGUGAAUCAUGUGUAAAUCGCAACGCAAGUUUUUUUAUGAUAUCCAUGAUGUACUAAAAUAUCAAUGUUUAAACAUAAUUUAGUCUAAGGAAAUAAACAGUAGUGGCUAUUCUAGCGGACACAAUCUUAACUUAAUUUUAGUUUUACAGCUCUUAAACUAGUGCCGUCCUUCACUUGCAAUAAGUGCAAGAGAGAGAUAGAGCUAGUUUUAGUCCUGUCAAAUUAAGAACUUUGUAGCAAACUAUUGUUUUGCAUGAUUUUACCUUACAAAAGACACAUAAAAACCUAUUGUGUUAUUUUCUCGGAUUAAAUUAGUGUCAUACGAUUAUCUUUUGUGAGAUGUUUUAAUGUAUCUACCUUUAUCGCGAUUUGCGGGUAUUUCAAUUGAGUUCAAAUUUUCUAAAGCUCGUUUCAAACUAAUACGUGGAGUAGUUCGUUUAACAAAUAUGGCUCUAUGCCACAGCCUGGACAGUCCAUACAAAAAUCUCGUUCUUACUGUGCCGCCUUACACGCGCGUGUGAGCGAGAUGGACAGUCCACGCGCUCCCUUACUCCUUAACGGGCUACAGAUUAAAUAGACUAAAAAGGUGAUUAAACCUCGCUCAGAGUGUCCGUUCUGUAUGUGUUUAUUCAAUGACUAAAAAUCACACGACACGAGCCACACAUAUCUAUCCGAUGUAUCUUUCGCAUACAAACUCUAGCUAGGCGUAAAAGCUGGGUGUACACAAUUCCUUUAAGGCCGGUUGGAAGGCGACCAGGGUGCGGCUAACUGGGUUACCGGUGGGUUGACCACACGCCGUGUCGCGACGGUGAUCGAUUGUUCUUACACACCUACCCCUUAACUGCCUAGUAUUACUACAUAUAAUGUUAACUUACCUUCCCCUUAACUGCUUUCUCUUGCUAACGUGUACUUUUAUGUAUGUCUUGAGGGAAGUUUUAUCGAAAACUUUGGUACCGAAACUCUAGGUAUAAUUGUUAAUUUUGAAAAUUAAGUUUUCCAAAUAAUUUUAAUGCAGGAUUAAAUAUUAUUGAAUUCGUGUCCACCUUUAAUAUAGGAUAAUGAAAAUAAAAAUUACGUUCGUAUAGUUUUUGUAAUCGAUAUCUCGACAUUACAAAAUAAUAUAUGUCAAUUAAAAAAAACAGAGAACGUUACAAAAAGAAAAAUUAAAUUAAAUAAAAAAAGGUUUUGUUUUGAACAGCGUGAGUGUCUUUACUAUUCGAGUAAGGCUGUUACGUAACCUAUGUUUACCUACCUACUUACUUAAAUGUUUUAUAUAAUGAAUGGAUAAACAAACACACUGACAUAUUAAUAACUUGUCUAUCAAUAAAAUAAUGUUAUAGAAGUUUCUGGUGCAAUAUACAAUAAUAACAAUUUAAACAUUAAGGUAUAUCCCCAUACUGUGCUUAAGACGCUCAAUGUAUUGAAUAUAUGUCUGUAAAUAAGAAAACUUAACAUUAUUAAUUACAAUAAUCUCUAGAUGUAGUUAAAAUCGAUACGUAAAUUUAAUAUAUUGUAUAAUCGGACAGUAAACGAAAUAAUCGAUAUAUUUAAAGUGUAUAAUGUGUAUAGAUUGGUGCAUGUAUAUAAAGUUGUAUAAUAAGCAUUGUUUAUCCCAAAAACAAUAAACACUUGUAUUUCAAA
rnacentral:misc_RNA from 1 species